AUGCUGACUGGAACUUGUCACAUGGCCCUGCUUGACCACGAGAGACUGAGAACUGUGAGGCACCUGGAAAAAGAUGGGGAAACUGAGUUUCAGAGCAGUGAGUGCCCGGCUCAAGCUUACAGAGCAAGGAAAAGACAGAACAUGGACACAGACCAGGCAAGUAUGAUUUUCAAAACCCUUGAUCUUAUCUAUUACAUUCUCCCACCCUUAUAUCUCCUUGUCCUGGCUGCAAACUCCAUUAAACAUCCCCCUGCUUUGAAGCGGUUCAGACAGAAUGUACCCGUGGUUGCUGGCACAUCUCCCAGAGAAGCUCUCUGAGCUCCGUUCCUCCCUCCUCCAGCCCCAGACCUCCUGGCGGCGGCCCCAAUGGGAGUGGAAGGUGCCCCGGUCUGAGUAACUCAUAGCUCCAUCGGCUACCCACAGUGAUGAAUGACACCCAUCCAUCCUGGGCUCUGCUGAUGGCCCAGCUCAUCCAUCAUGGCCUGGCGCUCCCAGGUGAUGUAUUAGUGCCUGGAGAAUGGAUGGCUCAAAAGCCAGUCUUCUUGGGAAGGAAACCGAGCCAAAGAGUGGAUUCCAUCUAAUUGAAUCCACUGGCUGGGCUGAGAGGUACUUUGGCAGCCCCUCUCGGGCUCCUGCAGAAAUAGGACUUGCAGUUCUUGAGCCAUCAGGUCAUUCUCAACUCAUAGCUGAUAAAUGGGGCAUUAUUUUGAAGAAAAAAAAAAUUUAAGGAGGAGCUAUUCGCAGAUUUGCUUCAUGAUGCAAAGCCAAGCAGACUGGGUGAGUCUUCUGGGGAUGAGUGAAGUGUGAACCAAGCAAUGGUGGGGUGAGAAAUAACUGAGAUGGAUCAGAGAUGCUGGGCCAGUAGAUCAGUCAGUGGUCAAGACUGUGAGGUCCGCAGUCAUGAGGACUUGGGGUUAUGUCCUAUAUCUGUCACUUGCAGACUGUGUGACCUUGGGCAAAUCCUUUGACCUCUCUGAACCUCAGUUUCAUUUUCUAUACACGGAGAAUAAUGGUUGUGAUGAUUAAAUGGGAAUCACUCUCUCUCUGUCAGUGUCAAGCAUAGGAAGCCCAGUACAGAGUAAGUGAUGAUGAUGGUGCUGAUAAGAAUAGUUAUAAUUAAAUACCCCAAAACUGUUCUCCCUGCUCUUUGCUCCUUAGAGGUUGUAGUAUUGCCAGAGUGGCAGUGGUAUAAUUGUUACUCCCCCACUGAGCGGUGGCUUGACCAGCCUCAUGACUGCUUCAGCCAAUAGAAUAUGCAAGAAGGGAUGCUGGGCCAGUUCGGUGCCUAGUGAGCCUUUCAAAGAAUUAGACCCUUGACUUCCUUUUUUUUGGAACAUGUGCAUUGGGUGAGCCAACUGCCCUGCAAGAUGCCCAAGUGCCUUGAGACUGCCAUGCUGGGAGGAAGCUCAAGUUACCUAUCUGGAGAGGCCAUGUGGAGAGAGAUGCCCAGCCAGCCGCCGUCUCUCCCAGCCAUCCCAGCUGGGAUGCCAAAUAUACAGGGGAAGAAGUCACCUUGGAUGUUCAGCCCAGUGGAGCCUUCAGAUGAUUAUAGCACCAGCUAUACCACCAUGUAACUGCAUCUGCACAAAAGACCCCAAGUGAGACCCACUCCACUGAGUCCAGUCAAUCCAUGGAGACGAGAGAGAGAAGGAUACACUGUUAUUUUAAGCUACUAAAUUUUGAGGCAGUUUAUUAUGUAGCAAUAGAUAACUGGAGUAGGAGCCAAUCUGUAUAGUGGGAUUAUUCAGAUCAAGUUUCUAAAUACCUUCUGAAUAUCAAGAGCUAUGCUGGGAGCAUAAGCUAGAGAAUGCUGAAUGCGAAUGUCUUGAAAUCCAGCGUGUUUCCUUUCACACCUUAGGGUUCGGAGUUCCUGUUGUGACUCAGCAGGUUAAGAACCCAACACAGUGUCCGUGAGGAUGCGAGUUUGAUCCCUGGCCUUGCUCAGUGGGUUGAGGAUCUGGUGUUGCCAUGGGCUGUGGUGUAGGUCACAGAUACGGAUCUAGUGUUGCUGUGGCUGUGGUGUAGGCUGGCAGCUGCAUCUCUAAUUCGACUCCUAGCCUGGGAACUUCCAUGUGCUGCAGGUGUGGCCGUAAAACAAACAAACAAAUAAGACAAACACCCCCCAAAACCUUAGGGUUCUAAGAUAAUGCUGCAGAGAAUGCCUUUGUCAGCCUCAGAGAGAAUACACUGAUUUUUUGGGGUUAUGAAACUUCAACAAUUUUUCCUCUGUACCCACUUGAUUCCCUUACUUACUCUUAAGUAACCCCUUUCUCAUUUUAUUUUUACAUUGAAUAGAUCAUAGAAUAAGGACUCUAUAGACUGGCGCUUCUCAAACCACCUAUGCAAGAGGACGAAUAAUUUUUUCCUUUUUAAUUUUCAACCUGCGGCACAUGGAUGCUUUUGUAAAAUACAAUAAAAAUGAAUUACUGGGAAAAUGAAAUAAAAGA
rnacentral:lncRNA from 1 species